GCUUGUCUCAAAGAUUAAGCCAUGCAUGUCUCAGUAUAAGUUCUUAUAUGGCGAAACUGCGAAUGGCUCAUUACAACAGUUAUAGUUUAUUUGAUGGUUGCUUACUACAUGGAUAACUGUGGUAAUUCUAGAGCUAAUACAUGCAUCAGUACCCGACUUUGUGGAAGGGUUGUGUUUAUUAGAUGGAAACCAAUGCAGGGCAACCUGGAAUAUGGUGAUUCAUAAUAACUCGCGGAUCGGUUUACCGAUGCAUCAUUCAAGUUUCUGCCCUAUCAGCUUUGGAUGGUAGGGUAUUGGCCUACCAUGGCUUUAACGGGUAACGGAGAAUUAGGGUUCGAUUCCGGAGAGGGAGCCUGAGAAAUGGCUACCACAUCCAAGGAAGGCAGCAGG
rnacentral:rRNA from 1 species